rnacentral:tRNA from 1 species
GGGCUCGUGGCGCAGACAGGUAGCGCAGCAGGCUUUUAACCUGAGGAUCAAGAGAGUCAUCUCUUGCUCGGGAACUGGCCGCGGGUUCAAAUCCCGCCGAGCCCG